AAUGGGCGAAAGCCUGAUGCAGCAACGCCGCGUGAGCGAUGAAGGCCUUCGGGUCGUAAAGCUCUGUACUAUGGGAAGAUAAUGACGGUACCAUAGGAGGAAGCCCCGGCUAACUACGUGCCAGCAGCCGCGGUAAUACGUAGGCGGCGAGCGUUGUCCGGAAUUACUGGGCGUAAAGGGCGCGUAGGCGGCCUGUUAAGUCAGAUGUGAAACCCCCAGGCUCAACUUGGGGAUUGCAUAUGAAACUGAUGGGCUCGAGUGUCGGAGAGGAAAGCGGAAUUCCUAGUGUAGCGGUGAAAUGCGUAGAUAUUAGGAGGAACACCAGUGGCGAAGGCGGCUUUCUGGACGAUAACUGACGCUGAGGCGCGAAAGCGUGGGGAGCAAA
rnacentral:rRNA from 1 species